rnacentral:rRNA from 1 species
UACAGAGGUGGCAAGCGUUGUUCGGAAUUACUGGGCGUAAAGGGCGCGUAGGCGGUCUGGUAAGUCCCGUGUGAAAUCCCUCGGCUCAACUGAGGAAUGGCACGGGAAACUGCUUGGCUUGAGUUCGGGAGAGGGAAGCGGAAUUCCGGGUGUAGCGGUGAAAUGCGUAGAUAUCCGGAGGAACACCGGUGGCGAAGGCGGCUUCCUGGACCGACACUGACGCUGAGGCGCGAAAGCUAGGGGAGCAAACGGG